UACGGGGGGGGCAAGCGUUGUUCGGAAUUACUGGGCGUAAAGGGUUCGUAGGUGGCUUGCUCAGUCAGACGUGAAAUCCCUCAGCUUAACUGGGGAACUGCGUCUGAUACUGGCGAGCUUGAGUGCAGGAGAGGAACGCGGAAUUCCAGGUGUAGCGGUGAAAUGCGUAGAUAUCUGGAGGAACACCGGUGGCGAAGGCGGCAUCCUGGACCGGGAUUGACACUGAGGCGCGAAAGCUAGGGGAGCGAACGGG
rnacentral:rRNA from 1 species